rnacentral:lncRNA from 1 species
AGAGCUCAAGAGCUCUGGGCCGUGAGCAAGCCUCCGAUAUUCUGGUCCCCUGAACCCGCCUUUUAAAUGCUUAUUCUGUCUCUUUCUAACUCCUAUGUCUCCACCAGACUCAGGGUACCCACUGGGUGGUGUGGGGCUGGUUUCCCUAACAUUCCCCACCAAAUAAAGCAGCUCCAACCUUCUAGAUGGUUGCUCAGCUCAGAAGUCUUAGAGAAAUUCUGAUGCCUCUCCUCACAUUUGCUCUGUCGGCAAAUCCUGGUGUCACAAGAGGGCUCAGGAGGGUUUCUGGAUGCCAACGAGACCCCAGCCACAGCCGGUCCCCAGAUUCUUGACAUCAUCACAAGAAAGAAUUCACAGAUCGCUUAGCUCCAUCCAACAUGGAAAGGGAUCAGACACGGGCAUCAUUGCCAGAUGAUAAUCCCUGAUGGUCAUCUUGGAUGCUGGCCACCACAGUUACAUUUGAGAGAUGGGGUUUAGCCAUGUUGCCCAGGAUCCUGGGCUCAAGCGAUCUGCCCACCUGGGCCUCCCAAAGUGCUGGGAUUGCAGGUAUGAGCCACCACUCGCGGCCUUGAUUCUCUUUCUAUAUGUUUAUCCUAAGGAUGGAAUCAGCAUUGUAGAUAAAUAUUUAGAACAGAGGUUGGCAAACCUUUUCUGUAAAUAGUCAGAUUGUAAGUAUUUGAGGCUUUGUGGGACAUAAGGUUUCUGUUGCAACUACUCCACUUUGCCUUGAAAGCAACCAUAGACGCUAUGGGAAUAAAUGCACGUGGCUGUGUUCCAACAAAACAGGCAGCAAAGUGAAUCUGGCCCACAAGCUGCAGUUUGCUGACUGAGAUUUAGAACAAAAUGCCGAUUAUAAUGGCAAAGAUUGUGAAUGUCCUAAUUAUUCAACAACUGGGAGUUACUUAAAUUAUACAGCAUCCACAAGAUAAAAAAGAAGUUACAGCCAUUAAAAAUGGUAUUUUCAAAGAAAUUGUAAUGAACUAGUGAUGGGCUCAGAGCAUAAUUAUGUCAAUGAGAGUCAAUUUAGCCAUUAAUUAAGACUCUGAACUCUGGAGUCAGAGAAAUUGAAACUUCAAACUUGAGCACUUUCUAGCUGUUUGACCUUAAGCAAAUUGUUUAACUUCUGGGAAACCUUUCCUUAUUUAAGAAAUGGAAACAGAAAUAUUAUCUAUCUUGUAAGGUUGUUGAAAGAUAAUGCAUAGAUCAUAUUGCUUAGCAUACAAUAAGUGCUUAACAAAUCAUUGUUUCCAAGUGGGGAAUUAAAAAUGGAAUUAUUUUUAUAGGUUCGUGGAUUUCAAAGCUGGAAGGAAACCUUGUAAGUCCCUCAAAAUAGGUGCUCAGUAAAUGUCUCCCAGUCUGUUUCUAAAAGGCAAGGGAAGGACUUUGAUUGGUUCAUUGAGUGUCACAUGACCACACUCUGGCCCAAUCAUUGUGUCAGCAAGUUGAAGUACUAUGGUUCCUCUCAGACUUGCUCUUCGACUUGUGCCUGCAACAGGCAGGGCAGCAGUACAAACUGGCCAUGGAGCACAAGAUUUCUUUUCGAGACAGGGUUUUGCCCUGUGGCCCAGGUUGGAGUGUAGUGGCACAGAUUACAGUUCACAGUAAUCUUGAACUCCUGGGCUCAAGGGAUCCUCCCACCUCAGCCUCCUGAGUAGCUGAGAUUACAGGUGCCUGCGCCCAUGCCCUGCUCAAUGUGUCUUUUCUAUAAGCACCCACGUGCUUAUAGACAAUGACGGUGAUGGCAGGUGAGUCCCUGCCUUGGUUAGUUUACCAGUCCCUGUCUGGUGGUCUUUUGGGAACUUUCCAGACUUUGGCACAUAGCAUGGUAGAGCAUUUCCAAAAUAUAUAUCCUGGAUCGCACUUCUUAUCACGCUUUGUGCUCUGGGGUGCUGAGUGUCUGUUUCUUUCUGUCUUUGUUCCUUUCUUUCUUUCGUUCAUUCAUACACACACACACACACACACACACACACACACACACACACACACACACACAGGGCCUUUCUCUGUCACCUAGGCUGCAGUGCAGUGGUGCAAUCACAGCUCACUGCAGCCUUGACCUCCUGGGCUCAAGCGGUCCUCCCACCUCGGCCUCCUGAGCAGCUGGGAGGCCUCCUGAGUAGCAGGGACUACAGGUGCACACCACCAUGCCUGACUAAUUUUUGUAUUUUUUGUAGAGAUAGUGUUUCAUCAUGUUGCCUAGGCUGGUCUCAAACUCCUGGGCUCAAGUGAUCCACCUUCCAAACUGUUGGCAUUACAGGGGUGAGCCACCACACCGGGCCCUGAGUGUUAUGCUUACUGUUUUGACUCUUUUGAGCCCUUAUAGUACAGUCCUGAGUUGCUCAACGAUGAAGAUCUGUUUCAAGACAUGUGUCAUUAGGCAAGGUCAUCUCUGUGUGAACAUCAUAGCGUGUACUCACAUAAACCUAGAUGGUAUAGCCUUCUACACACCUAGGCUAUAGGUAUAAUGGUAUAGCCUGUUGCUCCUGGGGUACAAACCUGUACAGCACGUUCCUGUACUGAAGAUUUUAGGCAAUUGUAAAACAACGGGAAGUAUUUGUAUAUCUCAACAUAGAGAAGUUACGGUAAAAAUACAGCAUUAUAAUCUUAUGGGACCAUCAUUGUGUACGCAGCCUGUUGUUGGUGGAAACAUUGUCGCAGUGCAUGACUGUAUACAUGAUGCAGUGAUUACAGUGGUAGGGAUUGAGUAUCCUGGUAUAAGGGGCUGUGCUUUUGAAAAUCUGUUUUUUUCUCUCUUGCUUUCUUUUUUUUUUUUCUUUUGAGACAAGGUCUCACUCUGUUGCCCAGGCUGGAGUGCAGUGGAGUGAUCUCAGCUCAGUGCAACCUCUGUCUUUUAGGCUCAAGCCGUCCUCCCACAUCAGCCUCCCAAACAGUUGGGACUACUGGCGCAUGCUACCAUGCCCAGCUAAAUUUUUUUUUUUUUUUUUUGGUAGAGACUGGGUCUCACUACAUUGCCCAGGCUUGUCUUGAACUCCUGAGCUCAAGAGAUCCGCCCACCUCAGCCUCUCAAAGUGCUGGGAUUACAGGCAUGAGCCACCGUGCCUGGCCUCUCUUGCUUUUUUCUCUCCCUCUUCUUCCAUAAAACCCAAUUCCCUGCCUUAUAAUCAAUCUCCCCGUUUACUUUUCUCUCUCCCUCUUCCCUCUACAACUUUCUCCAGUUCCAACUGCCUUGCUAACCUGAUGAUUUCCAUUCACUGGUUCUUGGUGCUCUGAUAUCUUUGCUUUGUUUGUAAUUUUACUGUCAGUGCAUUUAAAGUCUAAUUCAACGUUCAAAGUUCCCUGUAACCCACCCCAAACCGAUCUACGACAUCCUUAUCUGUGCAUCAACAAUCUUGUUGGGUGCUGACAGAAAAUACAGAUUUCCUGGGCCCCACAGUAGGCCUAUGGACACAGAUCUCUGGGAGUGGGGUUUUUGGUAAAAAUUAUUCUAACAAAAUUCUUAUGGGGAUCUGAUGAACAGACAGCUUGGGGAUCUCUUGUCACGGCUGAAUUUAUUACACUCGUAAAUUUACAGUUAUUAUAUGUGAAUGGAUGUCCAUCUUCUCUACCAAAUCCUGAGUUUAUGGACAUAAGACUGUGUCCAACACAUAUUAUUUGUUCAAUAUGUAUUUAUAGAAGAAAUGAAAAAUACCCCAAACAAGCAUCACAUGGUGAUGAGGUUCCCAUAAUCCACCAGCAGGUGGUGGAAGAGGCUAGGCCACAGUCAAUAACUGGACCUGUGUUCUCAUUCCCCCUAAGAUUGACAGCAGGGGUGGGUUUACAUUUUUUUUAAAAGUCGUUUUUAAUGAACAAUCCCAUAAGUUUAUGGAAUGAUUUCUGUUUGCAGCACAUGAAAAACCUUCUUGAAGAUCCCUUUAAAAGUCAUUAAAAAUGGAAACAUUAAAUGGAUUUCCCUAGAAGAGGAAUGACUUUUCCUCCAACAAUUCUAUCAAUUAAGCAUUUUCAAAGAGUACUUGAUAUUUUCCAAAUAAAUAUAUGGUGCUACUUACUGCACCUUCCUGGGCCUUGGUUCUUGCUAGUUCCCACAGGCUCCUUCCAGGUAUGAGGGGGCUCCUGGGGGAGGGGUCAUAGAGUUGUUUCUUGAUCCAGAUGCUGGUUUUACAGGUGAUAAAUUGUGAAAACUUAGCAAGCUGUUUGCUUACAGGUGCAUUUUUCUGUGUGUAUGUUAUACGUCAAAAAGGUUGGAAAAAAAAAAAAAGGCUGAGCAUGGUGGCUCAUGCCUGUAAUUCCAGCACUUUGGGAGGCCAAGGUGGGAAGAUGAACUGAACCCAGGAGUUCAAGACCAGCCUGGGAAACAAAGUGAGACCCUGUUUCUACAAAAAAAAAAAAAAAAGAAAGAAAAAGUUAGCUGGGCAUGGUAGCAUGCACCUGUAGGCCCAGCUACUCAGGUGGCUGAGCUGCGAGAAUUGCUUGAGCCCAGGAGUUUGAGGCUGCAGUGAGCCGUGAUUGUGCCACUGCACUCCAGACUGGGCAACAGAGCAAGACUCUGUCUCAAAAAAAAGAAAACGUUAAUAAAAAGAAGCAAAAUCAAUAAAGACCCAAUAUUAGUUUCCUAUCACUACCACAACAAAUUGUCACAAAUUUAGUGGCUGCAAACAACAUAAAUUUAUGAUGUAGCCACUCUGGAAAACAGUACAGAGGGUCUUCAAAAAAUUACCAUAUGCCCCAGCAAUCCUCCUUCUGGGUAUAUACCUAAAAUAUUUGAAAAAGCAUCUGUGCAGAUAUCUGUACUCCCAUGUUCAUUGCAGCAUUAUUCACAAUAACCAGAAGUAGAAGCACCUAAAUAUCUAUCAGCGGAUGAGUGGAUAAACAAAAUGUGGUAUAUACACAUAAUGGAAUAUUAUUCAGCCUUAAAAAAGGAAAUCUUAUCAUAUGCUGCAACAUGGAUGAACUUUGAGGAAAUAUGCUAAAUGAAAUAAACCAGUCACAGAAGGACAAAUACUGCAUGACUCCAUUUAUAUGAGGUAUCCAAAUUAAUCAACCUUUUUUUUUUUUUUUUUUUUAGAUAGGGUCUCACGCUGUUGCCAGGCUGGAGUGCAGUGGUGUCGUCAUAGCUCACUCCUGGGCUCAGUGGGCUCAAGUGAUCCUUCUGCCUCAGCCUCCAGAGUAGUUGGGACUACAGGCACACAGCACUGCACCCAGCUAAUUUUUUAAUUUUUGUAGAGAUGGGAGCUCACUAUGUUGCCCAGGCUGGUAUCAAAUUCCUGGGCUCAAGUGAUGCUCUUCUCUUGGCCUCCCAAAGCAUUGGGAUUACAAACAUGAGCCACCAUGCCUGGCUGUCAAACUCUUAUAAACAGAAAGUAAAACAAUGAUUAUCAGGAGGCGUGAAGGAGAGGAAAACAGGGCAUUGUUGUGGAUAUAGUCUCGUUUUUGCAAGAUGAAAAACUUCUAGAGGCUCAUUGCAGAACAAUGUGCCUAUAGUUAACACAACUGUUCUGUACACUUAAAAAGAGUUAAGAUGGUAUUUUUUUUUACCAGAAUAAAAAAACCUCACAAAUGUAUUAUCUUAUAUAUCUAUAGGUCAGAAGUGCAAAAUUUGUCUCACUGGACUAGAAUCAAGGUGUGCAAAGGGUUGCAUUUCUUUCUGGAUGUUACAAGGGAGAUUCCCUUUCCUGCUUAUUUGAGUUGUGGGCAGAAUUCUGCCCUUUGCAGCUAUAGGGAUGGAGCCCUGGUUUUCCGUCCGGCCAUCAGCCAAGGGCUGUUGUCAUCUUCUAGAAACUUCCACAUACUGUGUUCCCCUCCUCCAUAUUCUGAGCCAGCAGUGACUGGAGGCGUCUUUUGCUUAUAGCAUUUCUCUGACCCACUUUUCUGCCUCUCCUUUCUAUUGAUAAGGACUUGUGUUAUUAGAUUUGGUCCAAUUGGGUAAUCUAGGAUAAUCUCCCACUUUGAGAUCCAUAAUUUUUUUUGAGACAGGGUCUCGCUCUGUUGCCCAGGCUGGAGUGCAGUGGCACGAUCUCAGCUCUCUGCAACCUCUGCUUCCCUGGUUCAAGCAAUUCUUGUGCCUCAGCUCCUGAGAAGCUGGGAUUACAGGCACCCACCACGACACCCAGCUAGUUUUUGUAUUUUUAGUAGAGAUAGGGUUUCACCAUGUUGGCCAGGCUGGUCUUGAACUCCUGGCCUCAAGUGAUCUGCCCACCUCGGCCUCCCAAAAUGCUGGUAUUACAGGUGUGAGCAUUGCACCUGGCCUGAGAUCCAUAACUUAAUCAAAUGGGCAAAGUCUCUUUUGCCAUGUAAGGUAACAUAUUCUUAGAAAUUUGGGAGAAUUAGAACGUGUCCAUCUUUGGGAUGUGUAGUUCUACCACACCUCCUCCCACCCUCACCUGAUCAUUUUCAUUCAGCUCCACAUGAUGACAGGAGAGAGGAUUCAAUCUGGCAAAAGAUGCGAAUAUUGACUUUCAUAUGUGUAUAAGGACUCACAUUUAUUGAGUAUUUAUUAUGUGCCAGACACAUUUUAAGCACGUCACAGGCCUCAUCUUAUAUAAUUCUCCUAGAAGUAAAUGUUAUUAUUUUGUAACCAAGUAAUAUGGUUUGGCUGUGUCCCCACCCAAAUCUCAUUUUGAAUUGUAACUCUCACAAUUCCCACAUGUCGUGGGAAGAACCUGGUGGGAGGUAAUUGAAUCACGGGGGGCGAGUCUUUCCCAUGCUGUUCUCACCAUAGUGAAUAAGUCUCACAAGAUCUAAUGGUUUUAAACGGCAGUUUCCCUGCACAAGCUCUCUCUUUUUGCCUGCUGCCAUCCAUGUAAGACGUGACUUGUUCCUCCUUGCGUCACACCAUGAUGGUGAGGCCUCCCCAGCUGCGUGGAACUGUAAGUUCAUUAAACCCUUUUUCCUGUAUAAAUUACCCAGUCUCAGGUAUGUCUUUAUUUGCACCAUGAAAACAGACUAAUACACCAAGGAAACUGAAGCUUAGAGUGGUUAAUAAAUCUCUUUAAUGUCACACUGCUACUAUUAAUAGAUUUGUUGUAAACUUGGGAUUUAUAUUCAUACAGUCUCAUCCUUAAUCAAUUAGCUAUGCUGUCUCUUUAAUAAAUAUAAUAAUAUCGAUGACAAAAUGUUAUUAGAAGGUUGCACUUGUAUAUUAAAAAAACUCAGUAAGCAGUAAUUUCAAGAAAUUGGAGAUAGCUAGGGAUGAUGGCUCAUGACUGCGAUUCCCAGCACUUUGGGAGGCUAAGGCCAGAGGAUCACUUGAAGCCAGAAGUUUGAGGCCAGCUUGAGCAACAUAGCUGUCUCUACAACAACUACAACAAAAGUUAGCUGGGCAUAGUAAUGCAUGCCUAUAGUCCUAGCUAGCCGUGAGGCUGAGGUAGCAGGAUUGCUUGAGCCCAGGAGGUUGAGGCUUCGGUAAGCCGAGAUCAUGCCACUGCACUCCAGCCUGGGCAACAGAGCAAGAUUCUGUCUCUAAAAAAAUAAAAAAUUGCAGAAUUAAACAUAUUUCCAUAUUUAUUUACAGUCAAAUACAUUGUAACUCAAAGAGAAAGUGGUUAUAUGUUGAAGGGCACAAAGCAAUUUGACGUCCUAGAUAGAAACUUAGUGUCUUCAGACUAGAAGGGUCUUGAAAUGGUAAUUUUUUUCUCUCUUUGCAUUUGGGUAGGACCUCAUAUAACCCAACCUAGUGAGAAAAUCUGGCUUUGGGGAAAGUGGUGUGUUUUGGUGACAGGAACAUAGUUUCAACUUGGUUUUCCUUUUUAGAAUUAUUUUUACUUGUUUUAGAAAUAGUGAUGGGGUCUCACUAUGUUGCCCAGGCUGGUCUUGAACUCCUGAGCUGUAGGGAUCCUCCUGCCUUGGCCUCCCAAAGCGUUGGGAUUACAGAUGUGAGCCACUGCACCCGGCUUCACCUUAGUUUUCUAAUUACACAUGAAAGGAGUUGUUCUUUUCAUUUUCUCUUGUAUUCACAAGACUGUGCUGAAGCAGCCAGCUGCCCUUAUUGCAGCCUGAAUCCUGAUUUUUACCCUGUGUCCAGCCCUCCCUGUGUGACUGCAGGGCAAAUUCUGAUUGGUCUCAGCCUGUUAUGGUGGUGCCUGGGCUUAGCAAGGGGUGUUAGGUUCUGGUCAAUGAGGCAGAGUCUACUGGGCAGCUUCUGGAAAUGUUUUUUUAGUCUUAAAAAAGAGACACACAAAGAAGAAACAGCUCCUGCUCUCCAUCCCUGCCUGACCACAGUGUUUGGAAGUGCCCAUAUCAGGUCAAUCAGAGGAGGAGACCCCAAAAAUGGCCAAGUAUGAAGAUGGAAGGGCUUGACUUGGUUAAGCCACUCAACCAAUUGGCCCUGGAUUCUCUCUGCUGCCUGAAUUCUUUUUUUUUUUUUUUUUUUUUUUUUUUUCUAAAUUUUAGACAAGGUCUCACUCUGUCACCCAGGCUGGAGUGCAGUGGUGUGAUCUCAGCUCACUGCAGCCUUGAACUCCUGGGCUGAAGCAAUCCUCCCACCUCAGACUCUCAAGUAGCUGGGACCACAGGCAUGUGCCAGCACACCUGGCUAAUUUUUGUAUUUUUUUGUAGAGAUGGGGUCUUGCCAUGUUGCCCAGGCUGGUCUCGAGCUCCAGAGUUCAAGCAAUCCACCCGCCUCAGCUUCCCAAAGUGCUGGGAUUACAGGCAUGAGCCACUGAGCCAGACCUUUCCUUUCCUUUUCUUUUUCUUCUCUUCUUCUUCUUUUUUUUUUUUCUUGAGAUGGAGUCUCACUCUGUUGCCGAGGCUGGAGUGUGGUGAUGUAAUCUUGGCUCACUGCAACCUCCGCCUCCUGGAUUCAAGUGAUUCUCCUGCCUCAGCUUUCCAAGUAGCUGGGAUUACAGGUAUGCACCACCACACCUGGCUAAUUUUUUUGUAUUUUUCAUAGAGACGAGGUUUUACCAUGUUGGCUGGGAGUUCAGACCUCCCAAAGUGCUAGGAUUAUUACAGGCGUGAGCCACUGAGCCCACAACCUUUCCUUUUCUUUUUUGAGACAGGGUCUCACUACAUUCCCCUGGCUGGUCUCAAACUCCUGGGCUCAAAUGAUCCAAUCCUCCUGACUCAGUCUCCUGAGUAGCUGGGAUUUCAGGUGCGCACCACUGCAGCUGGCUCUGGAUUCUUACACUUAGGCCAUUUUUGGCUGGAGUUUCUCUUAUUAAUACUUGCAGAUGGCAGCACCCCAACUGAAUCACACAACACUAGUUUCUCUCUGUUUUAUUCAUGGGUUAUACUUUGUCUCAAAACCAGAAAUGGCAUUAAGUCCUCAGUUUUCUGUAAUGUCCUUUUUCUGAUCCUGGAUCCCAUCCAGAAACAUGACAUUGUACUUAGUCCUAAUAUCUCCUUAGGCUCCUCUUCAUGGUGACAGUCGCUCAGACUUCCCUUGUUCUUGGCCUUUUUGACAGUUUUGAGGAGUGCUGGACGGUUAUUUUGUAGAAUGUUCCUGAAUUUGGUUUUGUCUUAUGUCUUUAUUAUCAUUAGGCAGAGGUUAUGGGGUUUUGGGAGGAAGACCUCAGAGGUAAAGUGCCUCUCUCAUCGCAUGUCGAGGGUGCCUACCAUCAACGUGACGGGUCACUGUUAAUGUGGACCUUCAUCACCUGGCUGAGGCUGGGCUUACCAGGUUUCUCCACUGUACGCUCACUCUGCCUCCACCCCUUUCCAUACUGCAUGCACUCUUUGGAAGGAAGACACCGUGUGCUGCCUACACUUAAGGAAUGAGGCAUUAUGUUCCCCCAACUCUUGAGGACAAAGUGUCUGCAUGAAUUAUUUGGAAUAUUCUUCCACAUGGGUGAUUCGCCUUCUGCCAUGAUUGGAAGCUUCCCGAGGCUCUCACCAGGAGCAGAUGCCAGUGCCAUGCUUCCUGUACAGCCUGCAGAACCAUGAGCUAGUUUUCCUUAUUUGUUUAUGAAAUCAUUUAUUUAAACCGAGCUUGGUGGCUCAUGCCUCUAAUCCCAGCACAUCGGGAGGCUGAGGCGAGAGGACUGCUUGAGUCCAGGAGUUUCAGGCUGCAGUGAGCUGUGAUUGCACCACUGCACUCCAGCCUGGGUGAUAAAGCAAGACCCUGUGUCAAAAAUAAAAGUAAAAAUAAGAUAAAAAUAGAUCAAUCAUUUAUUUGUAUCAGUAUGGACUCAGGAGUUCUUUUGAGUUCUAAUCUAAUAUAACUUUAUGUUUUGGGGGGCUUUUUGUUGCUCAGAUUAUUCUAGUUUUGGUUACUGAGACCCUUUUAGUUGGCAUCUGUCUCCCUUUGGCAUACCCCACCAUUGUGGGUUGUGUGUGUGUGUGUGUGUGUGUGCGCGUGCGUGCAUUUCCUUCCUUUCUGGCACUACAAGAUUCUUCAGGCUUGUCUUUUAUAUUUCCUGGUUGAUAUACUUUGGAUGUGUGUCCCCUUUACAUCUUAUGUUGAAAUGUGACCUCCAGUGUUGGAGGUGGGGCCUGUUGGGGAGGUGGGAAGUGACUGGAUCACAAGGGCGGAUCCCUCGUAAAUGGCUUAGUGCUAUCCCCUUGGUGAUGAGUGAGUUCUCAUUCAGUUCACAUGAGAGCUCGUUGUUUAAAGGGAUCCUGGCUCUUCCCUCUGUCUCUUGCUUCUGUUCUCACAAUGUGAUACAUCAGCUCCCCCUUUGCCUUCUGCCGUGACUGGAAGCUUCCCGAGGUCCUCACCAGAAGCACAUGCAGAUGCCAUGCUUCCUGUACAGCCUGCAGAAUCAUGAGCCAAUUAAGCCUCUUUUCUUUAUAAAUCACCCAACCUCGGGUACUUUUUUACAGCAAUGCAGAAAUGGACUAACACACUGGCCCUGUCCUAGAAUCAGCUGCCUCUCCAAAGAGCUCUGUGCUGGUUAAUACUAAAUGCUAACUUGAUUGGACUGAAGGAUGCAAAGUAUUCAUCCUGGGUGUGUCUGUGAGAGUAUUGCCAAAGGAGCUUAACAUUUGAGUCGGUGGGCUGGGAAAGGCAGACCCACCCUUAAUCUGGGUGGGUACCAUCUAAUCAGCUGCCAGUGUGGCCACGACAUAAAGCAGGCAAAAAAACCAUGAAAAGGCUAGACUGGUCUAGCCUUCCAGCCUACAUCUUUCUUCCAUGCUGGAUGCUUCCUGCCCUCAAACAUCAAACUCCAGGUUCUUCAGUUUUGGAACUUGGACUGGCUCUCCUUGCUCCUCAGCUUGCAGAUGACCUACUGUGGGACCUUGUGAUUAUGUGAGCAAAUACUUAAUAAACUCCAUACAUGUGUAUGUAUAUAUAUAUAUACCAUCUGAAUGACAGUACACUAAACAGGACUUUGUACUAAUGUCUCUAACUCAAAUCCGUUUCCACGUGGAUCAUUUUAGUCAUCUCUACUUGCUUAUCUGUAAUCUCCCACCCCAACAAUGAAAACAUUAGCUUCCAUCAUUGCUAAUCUAGAUGGUGCACAAGAAGGCUCUCGCCAGAUGCUGGUCUUGUGAUCUUGGACUUCCCAGCCUCCAGAACUGUUCUACUUGAAUCAUAGUUUCUUUGCUCCUGGGAGACCCCUGCUAUUCCCAGUGAUGCUGCGAACUGGGGUUCAAAGUGGGGUGGCCUGGUGAGGCCUAAAAUCCAUGUCCCGUGGAGAACUGCCUGCAUCCCUUACAGAACCUGCCACAUAUUUCUGCAGCUUCCAAGAGGAAGGCUGGAAUUUACUGAGCUUACUGAAGCCAAUUAUCCCAAGAGUAUGUGAUCCAGAAGCAAGAUAAAGAUCAAAAGGACUCAGCUGGGAUUUGGCCUUCUCCAAGUGGAAGGAAUAAAAUCUGCAAUUGGCUCUGAAAAUAAAAACCAAACAAAAUCUCAGGCAAUCAUAGACAUGGCUCUUUGCUAUUUAUGAGCUUUUCUUUCUUUCUUUUUUUUUUUAAUUUAAACAAAUGUUAAAAGAUUUUUGUGUGGACCUCAGAUUCCAGCUUUACACUGAAACUCAACAUUAGUGUCGAAGCACUUGCAGGCCAUAUGUGCUCCAGCGAGGGUUUGGGAAUGUUGGGUGGUGUUGGUGGGCACCCAUAAUUGCCACUUGCUAUCACGUGAAUGCCUUAGGCAUGACGGAUUGCCAGUGCCCCUCUGAGCAGUCACUUGGAAGCUUUGCCAAAAUAUAAAUAUGUAACAUGAACAGAGGGUGCGUGACUUUUUAACUGCAGUAGCCACCUUUCAGACACCUGAGGCUUUGGUGUCCUCAGUUCCAAAAGCCACACA